rnacentral:misc_RNA from 1 species
GAUGAAGAACGCAGCGAAAUGCGAUAAGUAAUGUGAAUUGCAGAAUUCAGUGAAUCAUCGAAUCUUUGAACGCACAUUGCGCCCCCUGGUAUUCCGGGGGGCAUGCCUGUUCGAGCGCCAUUUCACCACUCAAGCCUCGCUUGGUAUUGGGCAACGCGGUCCGCCGCGUGCCUCAAAUCGACCGGCUGGGUCUUCUGUCCCCUAAGCGUUGUGGAAACUAUUCGCUAAAGGGUGUUCGGGAGGCUACGCCGUAAAACAACCCCAUUUCUAAGGUUGACCUCGGAUCAGGUAGGGAUACCCGCUGAACUUAAGCAUAUCAAUAAGCGGA